CUAACUUAAGACUCAAAUUCAAAUGCAACUCCCACAACAAGUCAAUCACAAUGUAUCCAUUGACCUCAGCGAGAGACUGACUUCAGCACUAAGUGACACUUCAUGGCUAAGGGCCUCAUUCAUGCCAGCAGUCCUAUUGUCCCGUGACUGGGAACUACUCAAUUUCAACAAAAUUCAUCCCUCAGGUGUAACAUGACAUUAGAUACUGAAGUCUCCAUUUCCUAACUGCACCCCAAGGAGCAUUUUCUGUGGGCCACAGAGAACUCUGUUCACGUGACACUACAUUUUUCUCUUGGCUUUUGGCUCUACAACACACUAAAAGUUAAGAAUAUAUUACUUCCCUAAUGUUACAUUUUGAAAUGAGCAAUUUAGUAGCUGCUGUAAGAAUGUUUUCUAUUCCCUAACAUUAGAAGAGGUGAUGCUUCCAGGCAUGAAAGGAAACUGAGAAGUUCAAAAGACUAUAUCCUUACUAAAAAGGUACUGUGCUGUGAGAAAAACUGAGCACCACUGACACAAAGCUUUUGUUCAAACUCUCAUCAAAAAUCUUAAAAGCCUUAAUUCAAAACCAACUGAUGCUAAAAGACAUUUUUGCAGAGAAGACCAAAUUGUUUCUCUAUAAUUGUUUCCAAAACAAUUUCAUUUUAAAAAUAGUCAAAGAGUGUGCACAUAAACAUUAACUUUUUGCAUUAAAAAAUAAAGACUUUCCAGCGUAUUUUAGAUACAUGCUCAAGGUCUAUGAAUUAAUUCAAUAUACUAAUGACUAAAAAUAUGGCAGCAUAUGGUGUGUUGGGUUGAUAUGUUAAAGUAAAUAAACCUGGAUCUAGCACAUCACUGAAGCUCUUUUUGAACAAUGGCAUGAGCCAUACUAUAUUUAACAUACGAUAUGAGGAUGCACAUUACCUCUAAAGGAGUCAUUAAAAUCUAUUAUAGCAAACUGUGUACAUAGACAGAGAUACCCUUUGUUCCUUUCAGUGCUUCCUUAAAAGGACAAUAUUUAAGUUCAUAUAUUCUAUUUUAAAAUACAAUAAAAAGGAGUUAAUAUUGAUGGUACAGGUUUGCAUUUCUGAUUCCACUUUUAUACCAUAAAGAGUAAUAAACAGUAACAGAACAUCUUUGAAAAUAUGAAUGUGCUGGGCUGGAUUUUUAGAUUUAACUGCAAGAUUCUUUCUUCUGAAAAAGUAUGAUUCUGUUCUAAAAGACAACUGCAAUGGCAUCAUUAUGCUUCUUGCUUAUUAUGUUUUGAUUGCCAAAUCACAUUUCUUCAGUUAUAAAUAAAUAUGAAUUUUCUGACUGAGAAGUCCUGCAAGUUCAACCCAGGUUCAGAGCUGAAUUGGGUUUUCACACAUCACUAUUAACAAAAAAGAUUGACAGACCAAAUUAGGCCUUGUUUUACACUUGUGUAAUCCCAAAGAAAGCUAUCAGAAUCACAUGUCAGAUCCUACCUUGAACAUUGCUUUGAAACCAAUAAAAAAAAUACAAAAAU